AACGGUCUCAAAUUUAUACCAUUUUAGCAUGUUAAUGUUAUGAACACCUUUUAACAGAGUGCCCAAGGAUGUGCUCAUUAGCUCACCAAUGAACUUGAAAUCUGUUAAUUUGGUUGAACCAGGUGAACCACAAAAUUGAGACAAAUUGCUAUCAGCCGUUGGUUGAUUUUCCAUUCGAGGCCUUACUGACACGCUCGCAGAUUACGUUUAAAUUAAACAGAUUCGGAGUUUUUUUGAGAAUGGAGAAAUGCAUGAAUGAGAGCUUUGACGUGGAUGAGUGUUGCUCUGAGCUGCACCAAGGCAAAAUGGAUGAAUGCAUUGCCAAGAGUUCUCUAAACUCCUUACUCAAAGAGCUGUUAGAUGAAAAGAUUUCUACUCGGAG